GCUGACGACGUGACGGGGGCGGGGGGAUGACGUAGGGGGCAAGCGUUUGCCGGGAUCAUUGGGCGGACAGCGCGCGCAGGCGUUCCCUUAAGUCUGAUGUGAAAGCCCACGGCUCAACCGGGUAGGGUCAUCGGAAACUGGGGGACGUGAGUGCAUAAGAGGAAAGCGGAAUUCCAAGAGUAGCGGUGAAAUGCGUAGAGAUUUGGAGGAACACCAGUGGCGAAUGCGGCUUUCUGGUCUGUAACUGACGCUGAGGCGCGAAAGCGUGGGGAGCAAACAGGAUUAGAUACCCUGGUAGUC
rnacentral:rRNA from 1 species